CCAAUAGCGUAUAUUAAAGUUGUUGCAGUUAAAAAGCUCGUAGUUGAAUUUCGGGAUCAAUAUGUUGGUCGUGCCUUGGUACGUACUAAUUUAUUGGUUUCUUCCUUCUGACGAACCAUGAUGUCAUUAAUUUGGUGUCUUGGGGAAUCAGGACUGUUACUUUGAAAAAAUUAGAGUGUUUAAAGCAGGCUCACGCUUGAAUACAUUAGCAUGGAAUAAUGAAAUAGGAUGUUUGAUUCUAUUUUGUUGGUUUCUAGGAUCGACGUAAUGAUUAAUAGGGAUAGUUGGGGGCAUUAGUAUUCAAUUGUCAGAGGUGAAAUUCUUGGAUUUAUUGAAGACUAACUACUGCGAAAGCAUUUGCCAAGGAUGUUUUCAUUAAUCAAGAACGAAAGUUAGGGGAUCGAAGACGAUCAGAUACCGUCGUAGUCUUAACCAUAAACUAUGCCGACUAGGGAUCGGAUGAUGUUAAUUUUUUAAUGACUCAUUCGGCGCCUUAG
rnacentral:misc_RNA from 1 species